GGGCAACUUUUUCUUCCAUUUUCCAUUUUUUAAAGAGUAAUAUACAAAAUCAUAAAUGUCAUUUUAUCAAAGCGAAGAUUAAAACAAAAGGAAAGAGAACUCUCAAAAAUAAUAAUAAUAAAUUACACAACUGAAUCCUUCAGUCCUAACUCACUCGGGCUGAAAUCAGUAUUAGGAUGGAUAUUCUUGCCUCCUACCUCCUUUUGGACAUCAUGUAUAUAUCACAAAACAAAUGCAAGCCAAAACCCAAAUACCUUAAAAAAUGAACAAACUGUCAUCUAAACUUCGCAAGCGUCAGCAUUGUCCAUAGACUCCUCUCUCUGAUUGCAAUUGAAGACCGGAGUCUUGACUUCUGGUUGAUCCAUAUCAAUGGAAACUUCAUCUGCCAAUGCAGAAAUGGACACUGGAGUAUUGAUUUCUGGUUGGUCCAUAUCGAUGGAAACUUCAUCUGCUGUGGCAGAAAGGGACUUUUUGUGAUGAUGCCUUCUAUUGUGCCUCAAUUUGAGUAUCCGUGCGAGUACUUGCACAAUGUCCCUCAUUGAAGGCCGUUUUUUCGGUACACGGUUGAUACAUUUAUAUGCAAGAGUCCCCACCUCAUUCAGCUCCUGCACAUCAAAUUUCCCAUCUAGACGAGAAUCCACGAUUUCCUCCCACCCCACUUUCCCCUCAGUAUUCAUUGCUGCCUAUUUAUUACCACAAACCAUUUUAAGUUAAUAAAAAUAGCAUAAAUAUGAGUGCGUUUUGAGGACGAGAAUAGGGAGACAGCUUACGAGUUCAACAUGUUCCAUGAGACCUUGUUGAGGAUUUCUGCCAGCUAUAAGUUCAAAGAGCAACACUCCAUAGCUGUAGACAUCACUCUUCUUUGUGAAGUUCCUUGUAGAUAUGUACUCAGGAUCAAGAUAUCCAAAAGUUCCCCGUAUGUUAGCCGCAUGUCUGUCUACCAUCUCUUCUCUUGAAAGACCAAAAUCUGCUACCUACUAGACCAGGGACAACAAAUUAGUAUGACAGACUACGGACUCAUUGAUGGACCAACAAAAUAUACUGCUAUGCUUAAAAUAAUAAGCAUUACUUUAAAAGGGUCCAAAAAAAAGGAAAAAUAAAAUAACAAAUCAUUUAAAAAAAAAGAUGCAAGAGUUCAUUUGGAUAGAUGAGGAUUUGAAUUGAAGAGUGCUUAAAUUUGAUACAACUAUCCAAAUCAACCCCAAAGGUAUCCUGCAGAUGGCUAAAUCUUUAGGCAGACCUUCAGCGUACCAUUUACGCACAGAUUUGACGUUGCACAACAUACAUACCCUGGCUCUCAUAGAAUGAUCCAACAGAAUGUUGGAAGAUUUAAUAUCCCGGUGAAUCACAGGAGGAACUGCCCCAUCAUGAAGAUACUCCAAACCCCUUGCUACAUCUAAGGCAAUAUAAACCCUCAAAUCCCAGCUCAAUGGUUCAUGGCUUUCACCUGCAUGACAAAGAAAAGCAUGUAAUUCUUCAGAGAAGUGGCACAUAUGAUUUAGAAAAUAAAUGUGCUGCAAACAAAUAUUUGCCUUCUCUCUAAUUCUUAGUUUAAUCAUUGAAAUGCAAAUUAUAGCUUAUUGAUUAUGUGAAUGAAUUUUCAAUGUUAUUAUGAACAAUGUUACACACAAGAAAGGCUCAGUUCAACUAGCAGAUAUAAGAGGUUUUAUGCAAAACUAGAUUUAUGCAAUAAAAAGGUUUAAAUUAAGCUUGAGUUGGGGUUUGUGAAAGUUGGAAACUUCUGAUCAUGUAAAAGUAAUAGAACAAUAGAAACAAAGAUGGAACUUUUGUCCACGUCCUUUGAUUCAUAGCAAAUUAAGACUCUUUACGUCCUAUUUGGCCUUCUGAAGAACUGAAAAACAAAUCCUAGGAUAAUAGAAGGCAUAUCUAUUAAUUUAAACCCACCAUGAGGAUUGGCUUUAACUUUUCACCAUAAAAUGAGACAAUUAGGGGAUCAUAAACACAAAAUGCAGAAGCCUUCUUCUUACUAGCCAUCCCUUUUCCAGCAUUGCAAAGACUGUGCAUUACCCAACAGUCAGGACUUGGGACUACCCUUAUUUGGUAUCUCUCAAUGGUGUUUCACAUUUUCACACAUGGUAUCCACAAUAAUUCAUUUUCUGGCCGGAAUCUGGCAAAAGGAGGAUAAUGCAUAUACAACAAAGAGGUUUUCAUUUUAAGAGCAACUCCAAAUAGGAACAAAAUUCUUCAAUUACUGAAAUCUUAGCUAUGACAAAGGUUCACAAAUCACAAGUGAUGCAUUUCCUGUAGUAAAGUGAUGCCGAUGAUCAUGCAACCUCGGAUGCUUAGGAUAGUUAUCCAACUACAGGUUCCAGAAUGCAAAUCAAUUUUCCUAUCAUACACACAGUUAAUGCGGACUUACUGUACAAAUGAGAAGCCAAGCAGCCUUUACUCAUAUAGACAUAUACAAGCAUAUGUUGGCCCUUUUCUGCACAAUAUCCAACCAAAUUCACCAGGUUUCUAUGAUGCAACCUUCCCAAUAGCAUAACCUCUGUGUGAAACUCUUUCUCCCCUUGCUUGGAAUUGGUUGCAAGCACUUUAACUGCAACCGUCUCGCCAGUUGACAUUUGAGCUUUAUAAACAGGACCAAAUGCUCCUUGUCCUAUUAGUGUUGUAAAAUUAUAGGUUGCUUUUUGCAGAUCCUUGUAAGAAUACUCAGGGAUUCCAGAGACUGCCAUCACAUUGCUCUUCUUAAAUCCUUCAAGCCACAAGGACAUGCCGUUGCGUCCGGAUUUAACGGGUGAUUCAGGGGCAAGAGUUGAAUCUGAUAAUAUAGUACACGAAUCAGCACCGUUUGCCCGGAUAGGGAUGGUGGCGGCCCUCCUCGAACUACUAUUACCUAUCUGCGAGCGUUUCCUAUGACACCUAAAACAGAAGAGUGACAAAACAGCUAGAAGCACUCCAAUCACCACCCCUAUUGAGAUUCCAAUGAUCAACCCAGAUGACUCCCCUUUCAUCUUCUUGGUUCUUUUCUAUUUGCUAUAGACCCCAGUCCAUUGAUCGAACUGCUAAUAGUUGAGUGCCGAGACAGUUACAAGUUUCUUGGAAUCAGAAACAGAGAAAAAGAAACAAAGAAAGCAAGAAUAGGAAACGAAAAUGCUCGAGUGAGAUCCGAGGCUAGGAUUAAUGAGAGAAAAUAAUCGAAAAGCGGAGAUGAAGAAAGCUAAUGAUAGGAUCUGUUUACAGAAAAUACAGAGAAAGCAGAGUUUUGGAUAAGAAAAUGAGUGUGUUGAAGAAGAACCAAGAAUUAGAAACAGUUCUUCUGUUU
rnacentral:misc_RNA from 1 species